rnacentral:rRNA from 1 species
GAUCAACGCUGGCGGCGUGCCUAAUGCAUGCAAGUCGGACGGGCUUGGGGUUCGCCCUGAGUCACGUGGCGGACGGGUGCGGAGCACGUGGGCAAGCUGCCCUGGGGCGGGGAUAGCCGGCGGAAACGCCGGGCAAUUCCGCGUACGUUCAUCGGCCGGUGGGGCGGGUGAGGAAAGGCUUUUCGGAGUCACCCUGGGAGGCGCCUGCGGCCGAUUAGCUGGUUGGUGGGGUAACGGCCUACCAAGGCGGNGAUCGGUAGCUGGUCUGAGAGGACGGCCAGCCACACGGGGACUGAGACACGGCCCCGACUCCUACGGGAGGCAGCAGCAAGGAAUCUUCCGCAAUGGGGCAACCCUGACGGAGCAACGCCGCGUGGGGAU